UGGGGAAUUUUGGACAAUGGGCGAAAGCCUGAUCCAGCCAUGCCGCGUGAGUGAAGAAGGCCUUCGGGUUGUAAAGCUCUUUUAGUCGGAAAGAAAGAGUUGCAAUGAAUAAUUGUGAUUUAUGACGGUACCGACAGAAAAAGCACCGGCUAACUACGUGCCAGCAGCCGCGGUAAUACGUAGGGUGCGAGCGUUAAUCGGAAUUACUGGGCGUAAAGGGUGCGCAGGCGGUCUUGCAAGUCAGAUGUGAAAGCCCCGGGCUUAACCUGGGAAUUGCGUUUGAAACUACAAGGCUAGAGUGCAGCAGAGGGGAGUGGAAUUCCAUGUGUAGCAGUGAAAUGCGUAGAGAUGUGGAAGAACACCGAUGGCGAAGGCAGCCCACUGGGUUGACACUGACGCUCAUGCACGAAAGCGUGGGGAGCAAACA
rnacentral:rRNA from 1 species